CGGGUACUGCUCGGGAGAGGCUUGAAUGCAUCCUCUUUCUCUCUCUUUUUUCGUCCAAUUUUAUUCUAUUUCCAAUCAGGCACCAGCAGAAGUGUCCUGGCAGCGCUGCAGAGGGAGCCCCGAUGGGUUGGGAGUUUGCCUUAUUUUUUUUUCCCUCCUCCUCCAUGUACUUCUGCUGCAGGGGCUGGGGGAGGCAGGAGGAGGAGGGUCUAGGUGCCGGAUGCCCGAGUGCCUUGCUCCCCCAGCCAAGGCGUUGGGGGAAUAGGGUGCGCUCAAAGCUACAGCAUCCCUCCAAUGUAGGGGGGGUUGGAGUGGCAAGACCCCCGCGUCUUGGGUCUGCUGCACCUGCACAUGGAAAGGUUUUUGCUGAAGGUUGAUAGGCUUUUUUUUUUUGCCUUUUCUCUUUUUGUGUGUGGAGGUUUUACCUAGUUUUUGACUCUUAAAAUAUUGCCCUUUGGGGCUGAAUUUGGCCGGAUGCAGAGAAACUCCAUGCGGACUGGGGUAGGGUCCGCGUGUUUUUGGUGCCGCCUUCAGUGCCUAGACUGCUCCCAACUUUAAUGAGAGUUUUAGGGACCUGGAUCGAAGGCUUGACAGGAUCCCAUCGAUCCAGUGUUUUCCUUGUGGGAAUGUUCUGGAACAUGAGCUCCCGUGUGUGCACACGCAUACACACACACACACACACACACACACACAAAUCCCCACUUCCCUCCCACGCACGUGACACCAGAGCAUCCUUAACACGCUUUUGACAAUGAUCAGGGUCCCUGCAGGAGAUGAGAAAAGCUGAAGCGAAGCAGCCUGUGACAGAGCCUCAGUAAUACAAGCUAACAAAUGCAUGAAGGCACAGUCUGCUUAUGUGAGUAUUACAAUGAUUGGCAUUUCUGCAAACAGCACAUGAUAAGUGGUGCAAAUACAUUUUCAAAGCUUAAUCAAUACUAGGCUCUUUGAUAUUGCUGGGCACUUUGGGAAUAGAUGAUUCCUCAGCAUGCCAACUAAAUAGUUUUCCCUUGGUCACAUGGCUGUGUUUCAAUCGAUUUGCAUUGGGGAAACACAAAGCAAGGGGCAGCAUACUUGUGUUUUUAGGGUGGCAUUCCCCCAUCCUGUGGAUAGUCUUUGCUAAGGGGAGGAUGAAUGAAUUUCACUACCUCAGCAGUGGCCAGCACAUAACCUAUGCGCUGUUUAAUUCCCACCUACCGUAAGCCCUGAGCUGUUAGCGUAUUCAGGAAAAUAGGAUGUCUUUGGAUGUCUUAAUCUGAACAUAAAUGGUUGUCUUGGACUUUCUCUGUGUACCGGGUGACAGCAGGCAGGGAGUCCCUUAACUUACCUUACCUGGUGGGCUGAGUGCUACCAAGUGAGGUGUGCCUAAUAGCAGGUCCCUUGGCUCUGCCUUAAGAUGCUCCCCAUCUACUUCAGGUCCACUAUGGGUCUCCUCUCACCUGAGCAGUCGGCCUGUGCAGUGCAGUGCAGAGUGGUCCUUGCAUGGCCUCCUCCUCUCCGGGUGAGCUUCAUUCUUACUGGGAAUAUUCCAAGUGCCCUUGCCAUGUGUUUGCUUUUCAAACAACACCAGUUGAAAGAGCUGAACUUUGGCAGAGUUUACAAUGAACUGAUCACUAACAAUUAAGAGGCUACAAAUUCUCAGCAGAAUCCUAAUGGUGUUGAGAAAUGGCUUGUUAGUUUGUCCUCCAUAGUGUAGAAAUCUGCAGCCGUACUGACCCCAUGGAAUAGAUCUCUGGCAGCUGGCUGGGUGUAGAUGGCAGGUAAUGAUUUAUUUAAUCAUGCUCUGUAAAGGCACAUAGUAUGGAGAUAACCUUUGGCGGGGGAUUCUCUCAGAUACAAAAUAUAGAAACUAGUAGGCGUCCAGAAGACAAGAGAGCAGAAGUGUUUUAGGUGACUUGACCUGCAUUUAAUGAACUGCCAUCAGCAUUCAUGCAAAACUCCCACUGAUGUCAAUGGGAGGUCUGUGCACGGCCCCACUGCAGCAUAUAGUCUGAUAGGCAUUGGCGCUAAUUCUGCUCUCGUGACAGAAAUAGCUCCUCUGAAGGCACCGAAAUGCUGUCAAUAUAAAAUUGCUGAGAAGUCUGGGGUUCUUGUUGCUAAUGGAUGUAAUGGACUUGUUAAUGCAAUGGAUAUACAUGCAAGGAAAAGGAAAUGAAACUAAGGAAAUCUAGUAUCAGGAGUUGCCUUUAUUUCUGUCAAGACUGUAUUGUUUCAGUUGUCAGCUGCUUUACUUCCAGACAUUGCUUCAGGUCCCUGGAUGACAAGAAAAAAGAUUCGAAAGAAUCAGCUAAGGAUAGCACAGAGAAACUUCCACUUAUUUUUAAAAAAUCUCUCUCUCUCUCUCUCUAUCUCUCUCUCUAUAUAUAUGGAUAUUCAUAGCCUAAUAACUUAAUUAUUAGUCUUAAUAUCAUGCUGAAUAGUGCUCAACACAUUGAUCAGUACAGGUGAACUCGGCAGGGUUCCUGUAGGAGACAACACCACUCACUGGGUGCAUCUACACAUGCACAUUUACUGCUCAGUAACCAAAAAUUACUGCGCAGUACGGGUGUGUGUCUACACAUGUGCACCUGUACUGUGCAGUAACUAUGGCGAUUUACACCCACUUAGUUACUGUGCAGUAAGGCAUGUAUAGACUGCGACUUGGGAGUAACUUUACUCCCUAGUCACAGCACGCACAGUGUUACUGUGCUGUAACGCCUACAUGUGUAGAUGCCAGUCUAACAACUGCUUACUGAGAAGUAACUUACUUUGCAGUAAAUGCAUGUGUAGACAUGCCCACUGUGAGCCAAGGGAUUUCACAGGCUGACCUAUAGGUCUGCAUCCUCAGUCAAAACUCCAUUAAGCCAGAAUUGCGGUGUGCAACAAAAUACAUUCUCUCCUGCAUUUAAAUGCAUUGGAAAAGCUGGAGACUCACAGUUUUUUUAAGGUUAAUUAGGUCGUGCCAAGAAGAAUUAACUGGAGUUGUUUUCUUCCUCUCUCUCUUUUUAUAAGAGCCUUUAUAAUUACCUUUAUCUCUAUUGGUUUGCUCAUCUACCUUUUUUUCCCCCUGCAGGGCAACAUAAAAUACAGCAUAAAAUACUUUUCAGAUUUGUUAAAAAACAUUUUGAUCAAUCACAUUAACAAAUGAUGUACAGAUUCUGAUUAAGUUACAAUGCCCACGCUGCAUGAUAAUUUAUGCGCCAGAUCUUUAUAUAUAUAGCUAUGAGCCUGACUGUUAAUCUUUAUUUAAUGGUGUACUAACGGUAUUCACUACUACGGUGCUAAAUGAGAAUUUGAUUUUCAGUUGCUUACAUCUUGUUUGGAAAAUAAAGGAAACAGUAGCUUAAGGCACCCCCAUUCAGCAAGUAUUCAGGAGGGGGCUACCAUUUUAGCCAGCCUAGUCUUUCAGGCUCCCUUUGCUCACCUGCUGUGGACCGUACUCUUGAUUCAGGCAUAUAAAUAAUCUGCUUCCUUUCCCACUGAGCUUGGAUGUUUGCCUUUGGCGACAUGAAAGCAUGACUCCUUGUCUCCAUAUAUGGAAAGCAGUCAAGUGACCUGACUGUGUGCCAGCAGGAAAAUCACUUCUAUACACCAGAGAGGGCUCUCAAAACCUGACUAACCCUGCCAGCACAGGCAAUCCACCUACAGGGAAACACGCAGGGAUGGCGAUAAUAGAUUUAGAUGAGGACUGACUGCCCUUUCUGGUGUCUGCACUAUGAUUUCCCCAAAUUUCUUCCAUUUCCAUAUGGAUGAGGAUGAGGUUAUUUAUUUGCUUUGCUUACCGUGCUUAGGUUGAGCACGCACAGAAAGGCAUGCACUGUUUUGUCAGCAGGAAACACCAUCAUUUUCCCUUUACUCCACCUUGGCGAUGAACUGAUUUUAUAUGUAUAAAUUGGAGCAAGAGAGCAAAAGCUACAUCUGUGCAUCUCCCUUCCCCACUCCAAACAAUUCCCCCUCUUUGCAUUUAGUCCUCUGCUUCCCUAUGUGCUUGUCUUAUGACAAUGUGUGUUCCUGUUAUGCACUGUUUCUACAAAGCUACAGCAAUAACCCAGAGGAGAGGUGGAUGGGGAAAUGCCCAGGCUGUAACAAAGACCGAGUAACUUCAGGAAUCAUACUGUUUCCCCUUAAAAUAGUGUCUCUUUCAGUUUCAAAUGAAAGACAUAGUGUCUCAUUCAGUCUCAAAUGAAAGCCACUUCCAGUAUACUCUUGUUAUAUUACACACUUCAGCUCUCAAAGGGUGUAUGUACAUAAGCUAUGUUAAUGCGCAUUAAACUAAUUUAAAGAUGGUGAAUUUAGGCUAAACACCUAAAUUUAAUACCUGAUAUUUAGGCGCAAUUAGUUAAAGUGCAUUAAUGCACAUCUAGAUGUGACCCACCCUAGAUUUAGCGCCGGGUUUGCCCAGCCACUAGAGGCACAUGGCAAGGCUGCAGAGACUUAGCAUUAGUGCCAAGUGUAUGCACAUGUAGACACCUGCCAAUAAUCACUUAAUGCACAUUAGUUUAAUGUGCAUUAAAUUUAGUCAUUCUUAAAUGCAUGUGUAUAUAGGCCCCAAGUGUAGUUUUAUUUGAAUUUCUUUAGCAGCUGAAUCUCUUCCACAUUUCUGAGCAUCCUUUCCUCCACAUCGGUUCUCUUCCUUGCUGAGCUGCACUGAAUGCAAACUGGCAGGGGGGAGAGAGCAUGGAGAAGAGAGGAAGACAGGUCACAAUAUUGCCCAGCCAUGAAUUCAGCUUGAAACAGGUAUAGAGAAGGAAAGGAGAAUUUUUUAUAAGAGUCGGCUACAAGAACCUGGCAAAACUAGGCUAACGGGGGAGUGUAAUUGAUCUCUGAAAUACAUAAGGGGGAUCUCUGAAAUACAUAUGCACCAGGAAGGCGCUACCACUUCCUUAAUCCAGGUCUUACAGGCUGAAUGCAGGAAAACUCACACAUCCUCACCUUUCCCGUUAAAUCUCCUCUCCUGGAAAAGAAACAGGCAUCGUAGUCAGAAGGAGCCUCUGACUCUGGAUAUGGGAGACAUGGGAUGAGGUUGGGGGCUAUAAUAUUAGCUAGAGAUAUUUCAUCAUUAUGAGUGAGAAAUCAGUAAUAAUAGGUGAGAGCUGGAGGAGAUACUAUGCUCAGUUCCAGGUAUGUAUACCAUCACAUCUCUGCACAUUGGGUUAAGUAUAUUAUCUGCACAUUUCCUCCCAAAAUGAUUAGCAGUGAAAUAGUUAGAAUUGCUGAUGUUACAUUGUCAGAGUCAAGACCUCAGCUGGGAUGUAAGCAGGGAGCCAUUUGCAGAGUUUUAAGAGCUGUUAUUCCAUGCAGGUACCUGGAAAGAUGGAUCAGCUUCAGGUGGUGACCUGGACUAUCUUCUGGGAUAGGGAACUUUUCUCCCCGUCCUCAAUUUUGUGGGUGCAGAUAUAGCACGUCUCAGACCACCCAGAAACAAGGCUUGCUUUGCCUCCUGAAAGUGUUUCACACUCGUCUGUCACGUAGGACAGGCAAUGGUGUUAGUGUACAAUUGGUAUACUUGUUUUGUUGUGCUUCAUGCAUUUCCCAGCUGAUGCUAUUUUACUGUUCUCCCCAGCAGUUGCUUCAGCACAGGUUGAUUUGGGGUAUCCAGAACAGCCCAUGUGCUCUGAGAGUUUAUUAAUUUCAGUAAAUUCACACAACACGCCCGGUCUUUGCUGUUCUUGUUGCUGACACUGCUCAGGCAUUCUGCUCUAGCAGACAAGUGUCAGUUGUGUUGUGCUCUCUAGAAGGCCAGUUUGCAUGUAACCCACUUAGAAAGGGACUUUCAAACCUAGAAAGGAGAAUUUUAAUGGCAGCUGGGUAUCUGCUUCCUUCAGGUGCCUUUAUCGAUCUCAGCCUUAGUACUUAAUUUUGCAAUGGGUAACAUAUGAUUUAUUAUUUACGUUGUCAUUAUGUCUAGUUCUGGUUCAGAGCCCCUGGUGUGAUGUGUCUGAACAAAAAGUUGGUCCAUGCCCCAAAGAGCUCACAUUCUAGGUAAGAUACGUGUAGUGAUUUCAUGAUUAUCAGGGCAGCCACCAAUGGUUUGGCUCAAAAAGAGGAGAAAAUCUACUCUGAAAUGUAUGAUGGACUUUUGAUUGAUACUGGAAGAUAAAAUGCAGAAAUUGCUCAUCUGGGAUCAUUAUAAAUAAAUAGCCUUCUAUGUGGGUAAGCAACGCAAUAGAAAACUCCCUCUCUCGAUACUGCGUUGGUGGAAACCCAGCCUUUCUUGGCUUCCAGGCCCCUGGAACAAAUUACCUUAUGAACAGGCAGAAUGCCAUCCCAACAGAUGAGCCCAGGUAGGCAGCCGAAAUACCAUGUAGGAUCAUCAGAUGUGUUUGUUAAGGUCAAGUCUUCUGGAAAGCCAAGUGGCAAAGGCAGUCUGUCUUAAGCUUCUGUGCCUGCCAUAUGUUAAUUGGAUAGACUAAUGCCUCUUUGGUGCUCAGCUGAAUGAAUGUCCACAAUUUAGCUUUGCAAAGGCAGGCCAUCUCAGCACUUCCUAUGUAGUACGGGAAUAGGGGAAUUUCCUAUGUAGCUAAUGUUUAGUGAAUUAUGGAAUAACCCAAAGCAAAGGAAUAAUGCAUGUGUGUGUUUGUGUGUGAUUACGUGUGUGUGUGUAUGUGGUAAUGUGUGUGUGUGUGUGUGUGCAUUAUGAUUUGAAGCAGUGAAGGAGUGAGGAUGGGCCAUUUGAUGCACAGAAUUGUAUCUAUUUCUCCUAUAUCUUAAAGGAAAAUAAUCACACACAAAGACAUAUGGCUUGUUUGAUAGUAUAAAUGGUAGGGGGCAGUAGGAGCAAAAGGAAAGGAUUCCUCAGCUUUCCCCAAAUGAACCCAUCCUGUGUGUAGCUCUGCCCCUCUCUAUCAACAUUUCUCCCUCCACGGCCUCCAGCCAUUUCCAAAAGAGUUUCUCAGCCCCAGAAUACGCUCUUAAAAGGCUUGAUUUUGAGAGCUCUCUACUGAGCAGGGAUGCCUAUGGAAUACACAAUUUGCCAUAAAAAUAUUAAUAUACCAGGGUAAAUCCUACCUGUACAACUACUUUCUGUGGCAUGGAGGUGUCUGGGUGCAGGCCUGCCAAGUACUUUUCUGCUACUAGAGCUGGAGUGAAGAAACAUGGCCUUGUGGCAGCCUCCCUCCCCAUUACAUUUCAGUCCUCCUCUGUUUCUUGGGGGGCUGUAAUGCAAGCCAGAAUACUGGACAUGUUGUGCGAUCAAAUUUGGAGACAGCAAUGUUUCAUUAGAUUCUGUGCGCUGUCAUCCUGUGUGCAAAUGUCACAAUCGUCUCUGUUAUGUUAUACAUAAGGAGCUUUAAACCCUAGUCGGCAUCAUGGGGAUUGAAGACAGCAGGGGACACUGGAAGGAUUCUGGAAGCUCUGGGUAUUCCUGCUUUGAAAGGUAAGUGCAGACCUAGAGGACUUUCUAGGGGGCCUUUCUUCUGCCAGUGCCAAUAGCUUACGCUCAAGAACUGCAAGUCCUACGACUGUUUCUGGGAAUAAAAAGGGUUUUGGUAAAUAUACAGCUUCUCCCUUAUUAUUUGCUCUAUGCGGGGAACAACAAGAGCCCCAUUGUCCUCUGUUCCAUAUCAACAGGACCUAGCACAAAUGAGGCCUCCUACAUUAGAUACAGCGAUGACAGACCUUGCAAUUUUCAUGCUGUCUGAAAUCAGUAAUAAACUUUGACACAUAACUUUUUAUCCAGGAGCAAAUAGCUCAUCAAUGACUCGAAGAAAUACGGCUCCAGCUGCUAAGGUCUGACUUACCGAUAUGACAAACAGAUCUGCAGUUGGGGUUGGUUUGUUUACAGGUGUGGUGGCUGCUGAGAAGUCAAUGAAAGCACAAGUGGACCCGUCUGCACGGCACGUAUGGGCAAAGGGAUCAGCCUACGUAGUUGUGUGAUGCAUACUAACUUGUUUUAUAGUGCUCAGGCAUGGAAACUGCUGUAACCUGCUCCACUUACACUGACGUUCCUCGCUCAGUUGUUGGGACCCAAGUGUCAUUACUGAGCGGCUCCACCCUGCACGUUCUCUGCCGGUGCUUUUGGCUGUGAAAUGGUACCCUGUGGCUCUGCACACGUGCAGGUGCGUCCUAGCAACUGCACACCCCAAAGAAAAAAGAUGGGGGUUUCCACAAUACCGUAUCUUCUCUUUUUCUCACGUGUGCGUGCAUGUGUGCAUGCAUGCAUGCACACACACGUGCACACACACACACACACACACACACCAUUCUUUACCUGCUUUCUCUUUCUUCCCUCCAGUAUAAAUUGAAGUUAACUCCUUUCAAUCUCAGCAAGCUAAAUCAAGAUAAAAAGGUUAGUCUGCUUAUCUACAUUAAACUAUUUGAGGACAAGAUCAGAUAAUAUGGACUACUUAACCCUGCCCUCCUAAUCUGGACAAUCUACACUUUCUAUUUAAGACUAUGCAGUAUUUGGGUCAAGAAUCUGCCUAUCCAUAAUAUGAGUUUAUAGUAUUAAGAAGUGAUGCUAGCCACCAGUAGGCGAUACUCUUACCUUUGUCCUUAAUAACAUCUCUGCUGAGUGGGGUUGAAUUUGUCACUACAAAUGCUCUUUUGCUGAUAGGCAUACAACACCCCUUGGUUUUUUCUUCACUGAAGUAGCAGUUUAGUUCUGGCAAUCUUCCAUUUAGGCUGUUAAAUUCUGCCUACUGAAAAUCGCCCCUUUACUUUAUGCCUUAGCAUAUUUUAUGUUACUGAUGCAAUGGCUUUUAAAGGGCUGCUUCAUUUUAUCUCUGCAGAUGGAUGCAUUCCAAUGUAGGGUGAAAUUUUUCUUUUUUGUGGAUAAGCCAAAAUGUUCAGGAGAGUCUUUUCCCAGUCCUUUGAUUUACGCAGCUAAAACUUUAUGCCUGCAUUUUUGCACACUUAGUUUUCAAGCCUGCAUUUUUUAAUUCACAAGGACUUUAGUGUCAGUGUGCAGAAUAGGCUGGCUCUUGAUCAGUCGUUCAGACUCCUUGCAAGGGCAUGACAAAAAAAACCUUAAAAUGAUAUUUUUAGCUAUGCAUGAGCUAAUGCAUGUGAGAAUGUCGGUCGUCCACCAGCAGAGACUUUGCACAUGUGAAAAUAUAAUUACUAUAAAGAAUCUACAGAUAAUUUUAGACACCCGAAUUUGGAAACCGCUUCAGAGAAAAUGCCCUGUUAUUUACAGUCCAUCAGAGAUAAGCAACCAAGUAUACAAUCUAUGGAGAGGGUUAUGCCUUGAUUAGGGCAUUAGCCUAUUGUGGGAAACCUGAGUUCAGUCUUCCUUUCUGACCUUGGGCAAGUUACUUAGCCUUUCUAUGCCCGAGUCCCUAGUUUCACCUACCUUAUGGGGGCAUUAUGAUACACUGAAGUUUUAGACUCUCAAGUUCUAGGGUAUUGGAGGACAUCAAAGAAGUUCAAAUAGAUUUGUCAAGAACUGUAGGAGGUGGGAAUGACUGGGUCUAGGAAAUACAUAUACUAAGUACUAUGGUAUGCAAAAGUGACUUUGGUCAUUAAAAUUAUAUAAAAAGAAAGAGUGAGGGUUCCUUUUUCAUAGGCAAAAUAUGUUGGUUACAGAGCAUGUAAGAUGACUAGAAAAACAGUGUUCUUUCCUAACAUGUUACAGAAAUGAAUCAUGAACCGGUUGUCCCUGCGAAAGAGUCAUAUUGCAAAGGUCAGCGUCUGAAGGGUGCACAUUCCCUUGAAUCCAGGUUACUAUGGUGAUCAACAGAAGCGCAGAAUAAACUCUGAUUCAUCAUAAUUGCUUCAUGUGAGAGGAGAAAACAUCUGAACUGCAUCUUUCAGUUUCAAGUUGGUUCUCUGAAGAAACAAUUACAGUUUGGAGAUAUAAACCUGUUCGAUGAGGCCCAUGUAAUCCAUGGGUGAAAUAUUAUAAAGGGGAUGAAACCAUUACAGUGAUGUAUUCCCUUUGGUAAAAAGGACUUUGGCUAUGAACCAUUUUAAGAGCAUGGCAUAUGAACUAGUUACCGUGAAAUAAUCCAAGGUAUUAGAUGACAGUGCAGCAGCUAUUCUGCAGUACAUCAAAGAAAUGGGAUAAACUACCUGGAAUUUACUGUUGGCUAAGAGCAUGCAUAUAGAAAGUAUCGGCAAUCUCUAAGUUCGCACUAUAGUUUACAUAAUAGACAAAUAUGUUACGUGAAAAGCUUUAAAGGUUACAAAUAAACCCACAAUAACAUGAUGGACACUUUUCACAUCCUAUAUGUACCAUCUGCCCCUUAGUGACAUACAGGAAUCGACUCCAUACCCUACCUUAAUAGGUAUAGUACCCACUGCCAACAACAUAAAGAAAGAGCCCAGUGCCAUUUGCUGAGUUCUCUCAACUCAAAUUUUUACCUCUAUAUUCCCUGCUCUUUGUGUUAACCAGAUUCAGUCUUUAAACCUAAGAUUCAAGGAAGUGGGGUUGCUUUCCAUGCACAAAUACCAAUUCAAGAGCAAAUGUGUAGGCCUGGGAGCAUAUUGAUGUAAUGCAGACAUAUUUUGGGAGCACUCAUGUGGCCCUGCAUUGAGAAAUUUGGAACAAAUACAUUUGACUUAAGAAUGCUGAAAUACCCUUUAAUCAGAACCCUUUACUCAGGGGUCUAUCCCGUGCACUGCAGUAUGCAUGAUCAAUGUACCAGGGGUUUUUUGUUUUGCUUUACAAAUCGAACAUAAAUAAUUCAACAUCACAGAAAUGACGUAUUGUAUUCUAUUUAUGCUUUUAAUCAUUCCCAGGCCUAUCUCAUACUAAUGAAGCAUUAAGUUGAUGGAUGUACGACUCUACCUGGACAUAAGAGGGAAAGGUCAAGCCUAAAUCAGAAUUUCUUGCUACUCAGCAAAUUUUACUUAAACUGUUUGGAAGGAAGGGAGAGAGAAAGAGAUUUAAAGAGUGCAUGUGUAGGUGUGUGUGUGUGUGUGUGUAGGAGGGUGAAAUCUAAGCCUAGCAAAAUUUAAGGAAUUUAGGACACAGAACUAAGCCAAGACCUCCUGAGGCAUUGAGUCCAGCCUGCAAGUGCAUCCA